CAAGUCGAACGGUAACAGGAAGCAGCUUGCUUGCUUCGCUGACGAGUGGCGGACGGGUGAGUAAUGUCUGGGAAACUGCCUGAUGGAGGGGGAUAACUACUGGAAACGGUAGCUAAUACCGCAUAACGUCGCAAGACCAAAGAGGGGGACCUUCGGGCCUCUUGCCAUCGGAUGUGCCCAGAUGGGAUUAGCUAGUAGGUGGGGUAACGGCUCACCUAGGCGACGAUCCCUAGCUGGUCUGAGAGGAUGACCAGCCACACUGGAACUGAGACACGGUCCAGACUCCUACGGGAGGCAGCAGUGGGGAAUAUUGCACAAUGGGCGCAAGCCUGAUGCAGCCAUGCCGCGUGUAUGAAGAAGGCCUUCGGGUUGUAAAGUACUUUCAGCGGGGAGGAAGGGAGUAAAGUUAAUACCUUUGCUCAUUGACGUUACCCGCAGAAGAAGCACCGGCUAACUCCGUGCCAGCAGCCGCCGGUAAUACGGAGGGUGCAAGCGUUAAUCGGAAUUACUGGGCGUAAAGCGCACGCAGGCGGUUUGUUAAGUCAGAUGUGAAAUCCCCGGGCUCAACCUGGGAACUGCAUCUGAUACUGGCAAGCUUGAGUCUCGUAGAGGGGGGUAGAAUUCCAGGUGUAGCGGUGAAAUGCGUAGAGAUCUGGAGGAAUACCGGUGGCGAAGGCGGCCCCCUGGACGAAGACUGACGCUCAGGUGCGAAAGCGUGGGGAGCAAACAGGAUUAGAUACCCUGGUAGUCCACGCCGUAAACGAUGUCGACUUGGAGGUUGUGCCCUUGAGGCGUGGCUUCCGGAGCUAACGCGUUAAGUCGACCGCCUGGGGAGUACGGCCGCAAGGUUAAAACUCAAAUGAAUUGACGGGGGCCCGCACAAGCGGUGGAGCAUGUGGUUUAAUUCGAUGCAACGCGAAGAACCUUACCUGGUCUUGACAUCCACRGAASUUUUCAGAGAUGAGAAUGUGCCUUCGGGAACYGUGAGACAGGUGCUGCAUGGCUGUCGUCAGCUCGUGUUGUGAAAUGUUGGGUUAAGUCCCGCAACGAGCGCAACCCUUAUCCUUUGUUGCCAGCGGUCCGGCCGGGAACUCAAAGGAGACUGCCAGUGAUAAACUGGAGGAAGGUGGGGAUGACGUCAAGUCAUCAUGGCCCUUACGACCAGGGCUACACACGUGCUACAAUGGCGCAUACAAAGAGAAGCGACCUCGCGAGAGCAAGCGGACCUCAUAAAGUGCGUCGUAGUCCGGAUUGGAGUCUGCAACUCGACUCCAUGAAGUCGGAAUCGCUAGUAAUCGUGGAUCAGAAUGCCACGGUGAAUACGUUCCCGGGCCUUGUACACACCGCCCGUCACACCAUGGGAGUGGGUUGCAAAAGAAGUAGGUAGCUUAACC
rnacentral:rRNA from 1 species